GUUGUCGUGGCCCGAGUGGUUAAGGCGAUAGACAAAUAGAUAACUCGUUUGGGAUCUUCCCGCGCAGGUUCGAAUCCUCCCGACAUCG
rnacentral:tRNA from 1 species